GUCUUCGUGGCUUAGUUGGUUAAAGCGUCGGUCUCAUAUGGCACUAUGACUGGUUCUUAGAAUCAGACAUCCGAAGGUCGAGGGUUCGACUCCCUCCGAGGACA